rnacentral:tmRNA from 1 species
UAUCUUUAAUUUAACGAUUCAAAGUCUUAUAUUAUUAGCGUUGGUUUUCCAACUAUGACGAUAAACGAGAUUCGUAAUAAACAUUGAGCACCAGGGGGCGGUACCCUGCACCUCCACCAAUUUCAACUUAUGGGGGUGAAAUAGAAUCGACUAAUGUCUAAAGGCUUUUCUUUCGUCCGGUAUAGUACCACCGCAAAGGACUAAAAUAUAAACGCAAAUGAACAAUUUGCUCUCGCUGCCUAAUUAAUUUAUUAAUUAGAUAAGCACGGUCCGGGGCACCGGGUAACAGAACGCCCCGCU